rnacentral:rRNA from 1 species
UCCGUAGGCGGUGCGGCAAGUCGGAAGUGAAAUCUCAGGGCUUAACCCUGAGGCUGCUUCCGAAACUGCCGUGCUCGAGUGCGAGGAGAGGCGAGUGGAAUUGCAGGUGUAGCGGUGAAAUGCGUAGAUAUCUGCAGGAACAUCCGAGGCGAAAGCGGCUCGCUGGAUCGCAACUGACGCUGAGGGACGAAAGCUAGGGGAGCAAACAGGAUUAGAUACCCUGGUAGUCCUAGCCCUAAACGAUCAGGACUGGGCGUGGGCCUCGUACGGGGCUCGUGCCGCAGCUAACGCGUUAAGUCCUGCGCCUGGGGAGUACGGUCGCAAGGCUGAA